GACGAACGCUGGCGGCGUGCUUAACACAUGCAAGUCGAACGGAAAGGCGCCAGCUUGCUGGAGUACUCGAGUGGCGAACGGGUGAGUAACACGUGGGUAAUCUGCCCUGCACUCUGGGAUAAGCCUUGGAAACUGGGUCUAAUACUGGAUAUGACCUUUCUCCUCAUGGGGUUUGGUGGAAAGUUUUUCGGUGUAGGAUGAGCCCGCGGCCUAUCAGCUUGUUGGUGGGGUGAUGGCCUACCAAGGCGACGACGGGUAGCCGGCCUGAGAGGGUGAUCGGCCACAUUGGGACUGAGAUACGGCCCAGACUCCUACGGGAGGCAGCAGUGGGGAAUAUUGCACAAUGGGCGGAAGCCUGAUGCAGCGACGCCGCGUGAGGGAUGACGGCCUUCGGGUUGUAAACCUCUUUCAGCAGGGACGAAGCGUAAGUGACGGUACCUGCAGAAGAAGCACCGGCUAACUAUGUG
rnacentral:rRNA from 1 species